rnacentral:rRNA from 1 species
GAUGAACGCUGGCGGCGUGCUUAACACAUGCAAGUCGAACGAUGAAGCCCAGCUUGCUGGGUGGAUUAGUGGCGAACGGGUGAGUAACACGUGAGCAACCUGCCCCUGACUCUGGGAUAAGCGCUGGAAACGGCGUCUAAUACUGGAUACGAGUAGCGAUCGCAUGGUCAGUUACUGGAAAGAUUUUUUGGUUGGGGAUGGGCUCGCGGCCUAUCAGCUUGUUGGUGAGGUAAUGGCCCACCAAGGCGUCGACGGGUAGCCGGCCUGAGAGCGUGACCGGCCACACUGGGACUGAGACGCGGCACAGACUCCUACGGGAGGCAGCAGUGGUGAAGAUUGCACAAUGGGAGGAAGACUGAUGCAGCAACGCCGCGGGAGGGAUGACGGCCGUCGGGUUGUAAACCUCUUUUAGCAGGGAAGAAGCGAGAGUGACGGUACCUGCAGAAAAAGCGCCGGCUAACUACGUGCCAGCCGCCGCGGUAAUAC